rnacentral:rRNA from 2 species
GACAGAGGGUGCAAACGUUGUUCGGAUUUACUGGGCGUAAAGCGCGUGUAGGCGGCCUUGCAAGUCGGAUGUGAAAGCCCACGGCUCAACCGUGGAAGUGCAUCCGAAACUGCAUAGCUUGAGUCUCGGAGAGGAAGGUGGAAUGCUUGGUGUAGAGGUGAAAUUCGUAGAUAUCAAGCAGAACACCUGCGGCGAAGGCGGCCUUCUGGACGAUGACUGACGCUGAGACGCGAAAGCGUGGGGAGCAAACAGG